UGGGGAAUAUUGCACAAUGGGCGGAAGCCUGAUGCAGCGACGCCGCGUGAGGGAUGACGGCCUUCGGGUUGUAAACCUCUUUCAGCAGGGACGAAGCGUAAGUGACGGUACCUGCAGAAGAAGCACCGGCUAACUAUGUGCCAGCAGCCGCGGUAAUACGUAGGGUGCGAGCGUUGUCCGGAAUUACUGGGCGUAAAGAGCUCGUAGGCGGUUUGUCACGUCGUCUGUGAAAUCCUAGGGCUUAACCCUGGACGUGCAGGCGAUACGGGCUGACUUGAGUACUACAGGGGAGACUGGAAUUUCUGGUGUAGCGGUGGAAUGCACAGAUAUCAGGAAGAACACCGAUGGCGAAGGCAGGUCUCUGGGUAGUAACUGACGCUGAGGAGCGAAAGCAUGGGUAGCGAACA
rnacentral:rRNA from 1 species